UACGGGGGGAGCAAGCGUUGUUCGGAUUUACUGGGCGUAAAGGGCGCGUAGGCGGUCAGCACAAGUCAGUUGUGAAAUCUCCGGGCUUAACUCGGAAAGGUCAACUGAUACUGUGCGACUAGAGUGCGGAAGGGGCAACUGGAAUUCUCGGUGUAGCGGUGAAAUGCGUAGAUAUCGAGAGGAACACCUGCGGCGAAGGCGGGUUGCUGGGCCGACACUGACGCUGAUGCGCGAAAGCCAGGGGAGUGAACGGG
rnacentral:rRNA from 1 species